rnacentral:rRNA from 1 species
ACGAAGGGGGCUAGCGUUGUUCGGAAUUACUGGGCGUAAAGCGCACGUAGGCGGGUUUGUAAGUAGGGGGUGAAAUCCCAGGGCUCAACCCUGGAACUGCCUUCUAGACUGCAAGCCUGGAGGUCAGGAGAGGCGAGUGGAAUUCCGAGUGUAGAGGUGAAAUUCGUAGAUAUUCGGAAGAACACCAGUGGCGAAGGCGACUUACUGGACACAUAUUGACGCUGAGGUGCGAAAGCGUGGGGAGCAAACAGGA